UGCGGGUAGGACAAGUGGUUAAGUCGCAGCCCUCAUAAGGCUUGAGGAAUGAGUUCGAUUCUCAUACCCGCAA
rnacentral:tRNA from 1 species